rnacentral:rRNA from 1 species
AUGGCGAUGGCGCCGAUCAUGGCGGCGCGCACAGUGCCGUACGCACAGGGGCAGGGCCAUGAGCUGCAGCAAGACUUCGAUUUCUUCUUGGUGGUGGACUUCGAGGCGACGUGCCAGAAAGACGCGCGGAUCUACCCGCAGGAGAUCAUCGAGUUCCCCGCCGUCCUCGUCGACGCCGCCACAGGCCGCCUCGAGUCCGCGUUUCGCCGCUACAUCCGCCCGAAGCACCACCCCGUGCUCACCCAGUUCUGCAGGGACCUCACGGGUAUCCGGCAGGAGGACGUCGACGGCGGCGUGGACCUCGGCCAGGCCCUCCGGCUGCACGACGCUUGGCUGGAGGCGGCGACCACGGGGGUAGGGACCAAGCGAUGUGGCGGCCGCUUGGCCGUCGUUACGUGGGGAGACUGGGAUUGCCGCACCAUGCUCGAGUUUGAGUGCCGCUUCAAGGGCAUCGAGAAGCCCUCCUACUUCGAUCGCUGGAUCAACCUGAGGGCUCCCUUCCAGGCGGCGCUCGGCGGCGGAGGGCGGGUCAACCUGCAGGAGGCGGUCCGGGCGGCGGGACUGGACUGGGAGGGCCGCCUGCACUGCGAGCUGGACGACGCGCGCAACACGGCGCGGCUUCUUGUCGAGCUCAUGCUGCGCGGGGUCAAGAUGAGCAUUACCGGCUCGCUGGCGCUGCCACGGCCGAUCCAGCAGCAGCCGCCUCACAUAAGCCCUUGCCGUGGCUCCUCAGCACUGGCGCCGCCGCCCAUCCAGCAGCAGCAGCAGCCGCCGCCGCCUCACAUAAGCACCUGCGGUGGCUCGUCUGUGACGUGCUUCUGCUACUGCGGCCAGCGGGUGGCGACCAGAGGAGGUGUGGUGUCGGUGCCAGGACCGAUGCAGGGGAAGUGCUUCUUUGCGUGCGUCAAUGGGAGCCGUGUGCUGUUAGUGUGUAGCAACUGA